UCACUAGACUUCAUACCAUAAACAGAGUUUCUUAGAAAAGAUCACACCACAGCCUAUUAACGUGAAUUCCCAUAGUCGAUUGAAAUAAUGAAUCCACUAUUAGUUCCGCUAGUAUUUGUUUUAUUAGCGGUUUUAUUAGUUGCAGAUUUGCCUAAAGGUUGUACAGAAGAGAUUUUCGAAACUUUAAGGGAUAAAAAACCUGAAGGUGAAAAUAUGAUUCGUCAAAGAAAACUUCUCUCACAUUUUGAUAAUGAUAAUACCAAAGGAUUUGCGAUAGUGUCACAAAAUCGUGGGAAAGUGAAUCCAAGAAAGGGUCACAGGCCAUUCGGAAAGCUGAAACCUCUUUGCACCAGAAAAGGAGUUGCUCAGUAGAGCUGCAUAAAUACACAAGAGCUGAGUCCCAGAUUAUUGCGUUGUUUACACUAGUUAUUAGUAUUAGUUCAUUUAGUUUUAAUCGUGGCCGACAAGGCUGUGAUUUACUUUCUUUCUUACCACAAAGUUUUGUGUGUGUGUCACUCCAUUGCUGAUUAGGUUUGCAAAAAUCUUAAAAACACUCCAAAAAAAAAUAUACCGAUCAUAACAUCGGAUGCUGAAUGAACUUCGGAAAAAGCCCAAAAAUGAAUCUUUAAAGGAAAUCCUUCAAAACUACGUCUUGAUAUAACUCUCUGCGCGAUUGCUCUUUCCAUGUACUCUACUAAAAUUAGGUAAUUUAAAAAAUUCUUUUCAAAAAAUUAUAAAAUAUUUGCAAAGCCGUGUUUGUCCCAUUUAAUAUAAAUAUUGAGUACAAUUAUUAUGGCAUUUUCUUUAAUUACCCCUUAAUAAUUUUAAUAAUUGUAUUGUAAAACCAAAAAAAGCAGUUGAGGUUAACCAGUUUUGAUAAUGAAAUUUCACCAACAUUCAAUUUGUAAGAAAUUGUGGACUUUUUAUAUUUUCCUUGGAACCCCAUUCCUCCCCUAACAUCGUUGGGUCCUUCUGUUCCACUGCUCGAGAGUACUAGCUUGAGAUCGUCUUCGUGUUGUUAUGGAUGCAACUCCCUAGAUCGGCUGUUUCUCCAUCUUAAAUCGGGACUUUGUUGUAUGUAAAAGGGAAACCGUAUCCAAUAUAAAUGACGUAUCUACUUGAUUUUUGAUCAGUUCUAUAUUGGUAUGUAUGUAUCGUAGUAAGGUAAUAAAACUGCAAAAAAACUUGAAAAAGUCAAUAUAUUUAUUGAAUAUACAAAAUGGCUACGGUCAAUGUGCCCAUUAUAAGCAUAAAAAUAGGGACAAUGCAAAUUCCUGUGUUAAUUGUGUUAUACAGUGUGCUGCUAUAAGUUUGCAAUGGGUUGAGAGCACUUAUACAGAUGUCUACAUAUACGGGGUGGAGCAAAAAAAGUCAAAUAUUACCAAGAUUACCAAACGUGCUUAAUCAUUUAUUCAGUAUUUUUGGGUUAAUUUAAUUCUAUUAUUUCAAAAGCAUUACUUGCUACUUUGAAAAAGCAAAAAUAUUUUCACGAUAAAAUAGAGUGUUUUGAUUUACAAAAUUUGCAAAUUAAAAGCAAACAAAAGAUCUCCAGCAUCCGAAAAAUACCCAAAAAAUGUGUGGUCGAUCCAUGUAAAAAUUCUUAAGCUUGCAAAGAAAACUUUAUUUUUAUCACAGAUGACAAUUUUUUAUCGCUGAUGUGUCCCGUAUUUAACAUGUAAAAUACUUAUGCUAAUUAAAAUACUAACUACAGUAUCCCAAUUGAACUAAAACAUCCUUAAUUUCUUCAAAAACUGUUGGAUCUAUCACCGUGCCAGGUAUCUGAAAAAAUAUAUACCAUGUAGCCAUUUAUUGCAGUGGGCUGUACUGUGCAAACCACAUAGUCAUAUCAUAGUAUGGCUAUAAUUCCAGGCGGGCAGGUGCUAUCCCUCUCCCGUUUUCCAGACUUCAUCUUAGAAUAAUAAGAUCAUUGUUAAAUUUUUUAAUGCCCUACUAAAUAAUAUCCUCUUUUUAACACACGGAUAAUGAAGCAAUUGUUAAUAGAACUGAUCAAUACUUUUCCAACGUUGUCAAAUGAUCAGGACAUAUUUGCGGCAAAUAUUUCAUGUUAAUUUAUAGUAUAAAUCUAUCUAGCGAACAUAAUUGAAUAUGCCUUGGUUACCUAUUUAAAAACAUUAGAGCAUUAAUACGUGUAAUUAGGUUUAAAUCUACCGUUAAGAUGGCAGUGAAGAAGUACAGUUUAAUUUUAAUAUUUUUUGGAGUGACACUUGCCGCGCUAUUUUCAUUCAAGAGUAAAGUUAAAACACAGCCGAGUUCUAAAACUCCGCCAUAUAGAGUGUAUUGCAGUUUGCAGUAAGCGUAUACCACGCCCAGGUUGACACCGAUUGAUAAUUAGAGCGAUAAAGUAGCUCCUCUAAUAUCACCCUGUAUAAUUUGAAUUAAAUUGAUUUUUGUAAUAAAGAAACUGUCAAUUUUAGUGCCAAAGAAGUCAAUGCCAAUGUCAAAAGGCUGACAAAUAAUGAUUUAAGGCAGAAGGAGCAGGAACAGCUAUCAAAUGAAUUCAACAGCAUUUGUGGAGAGCUAACUUCAUAUGCAAAAUUUUUCGUGGCACUUGCCCAAGAACGAUACUUUAUUAAUGACUCUACUGAAAUCCCAACGCUUGAAGCUGAUAAUGCUUGAUUUCCAACAAAAAAUGUUACCCAGUUAAUGUAAUUCCAGAAAAACUUUAUCGUCAGUUAUACCUUCGUUAAACCGCCGAAUUUGGACGUUAAUCAAAAUCAGAAUCAGAAUCAGAAUAUCAGGCAGCAGCUGUUAUAAUGCCACUUUUCCCUCGACCAUGAUAUGCAUUCAUAAAAUAUAUACUAAUAAUGUAUUUUUGAAACCAACAUCAAAAAAGGUGUAGCAAUCUAAGGAUUGCCAAGAUGUAAGAUUUUUGUACGAAUGCAGUUACUUUCGCAAAUAGUGAUUUUGUUUGAUUUUGCGGAGGUAACAGAGGAAAUAAAUAUCGAAUUUUUUAAACACACUGUCAUUAAACU